rfam:Aspergillus flavus NRRL3357 scf_1106286418772 genomic scaffold, whole genome shotgun sequence.
GCCCGAUUAGCUCAGUCGGUAGAGCGUGAGACUUUUAGGUUUCCUGCCAUCUCAAUGUCAGGGGUUCGAGCCCCCUAUCGGGCG